UACAGAGGCCCCGAGCAUUACCCGGAAUCACUGGGCGUAAAGGGUGUCCAGGCGGCCUUGUUAGUCUCGCGUAAAAUCUGUGGGCUCAACCUACAGCGCGCGCGGGAAACGGCAAGGCUCGAGGGCGCGAGAGAUAGAGGGAACUCAUGGUGGAGGGGUAAAAUCCGUUGAUAUCAUGGGGAACACCAAAGGCGAAGGCACUCUAUUAGCGCGUUCCUGACGCUCACACACGAAAGCCAGGGUAGCGAACGGG
rnacentral:rRNA from 1 species